rnacentral:rRNA from 1 species
GCCUAAAGGGGCCGUAGCUUGAUAAUAGGGUCCCUUGAGAAAUCCGCCGGCUUAACUGGCGGGCGUUCAGGGGAAACUUGUUUUCUAGGGACCGGGAGAGGUGAGGGGUACUGCCGGGAUAGGAGUGAAAUCCUGUAAUCCCGGUGGGACCACCUAUGGCGAAGGCAUCUCACCAGAACGGGUCCGACAGUGAGGGACGAAAGCUGGGGGAGCAAACCGGAUUAGAUACCCGGGUAGUCCCAGCUGUAAACUAUGUGCGUUAGGUGUGUCAGUGACCACGUGUCACUGAGGUGCCGAAGGGAAACCGUGAAACGCACCGCCUGGGGAGUACGGUCGCAAGGCUGAAACUUAAAGGAAUUGGCGGGGGAGCACCACAACGGGUGGAGCCUGCGGUUUAAUCGGACUCAACGCCGGGAAUCUCACCGGAUAAGACAGCUGAAUGAUAGUCGGGAUGAAGACUCUACUUGACUAGCUGAGAGGAGGUGCAUGGCCGUCGUCAGUUCGUACUGUGAAGUAUCCUGUUUAGUCAGGCAACGAGCGAGACCCACGCGAGCAGUUGCCAGCUUGACCUUCGGGUUGAUGGGGACACUGCUCGGACCGCCUCUGCUAAAGGGGAGGAAGGACUGGGCAACGGUAGGUCAGCAUGCCCCGAAUUAUCCGGGCUACACGCGGGCUACAAUGGACAGGACAAUGAGUUUCGACACCGAGAGGUGAGGAUAAUCUUCUAACCCUGUCCCAAGUUCGGAUUGCGGGUUGUAACUCACCCGCAUGAAGCUGGAAUCCGUAGUAAUCGCGUUUCAACAUACCGCGGUGAAUAUGUCCCUGCUCCUUGCACACACCGCCCGU